rnacentral:rRNA from 1 species
UACAGAGGUGGCAAGCGUUGUUCGGAAUCAUUGGGCGUAAAGCGCGUGUAGGCGGCUUGGCAAGUCGGUUGUGAAAGCCCGGGGCCCAACCCCGGAACUGCAUCUGAAACUGCCUGGCUAGAGUCCCGGAGAGGAAGGCAGAAUUCCCGGUGUAGGGGUGAAAUGCGCAGAUAUCAGGAAGAACACCCGUGGCGAAGGCGGCUCUCUGGGACGGUACUGACGCUGAGACGCGAAAGCGUGGGGAGCGAACAGG